UCUUUCCGUCUCCCUCCCUGUUCCUUCUCUCUCUCUCUUUCUGUCUUUCUCCUUCCUUCUCUCCCUCCCCCUCGCAGCUCGGAGCCAGACGCGGAGCUCACGGUCUGAUGGAGGAGACAGACGCAGCGCAGACAGUUUCAAUCCAGGGUGAUCGGGGUGCGAUAAUCCUCAGGUGGGCAGAGCAUCCGCAAUACCAGAUGAUCCAAAGGCAACAGAUGCUCCGAUUGCGCCAUUGAAUAAUCCCAAGUGGUAACUUGCCCCUGGUGGACUUGAACAGAAUUGUAUUGUAUGCAGCAAGGCAAUGAAGAGCACAGACUCUGAAGCCAGAUUGCCCAGGAGAGAGAGAUUUGAAGAUACAGAGGAGACCCACAGGGAGGAAGGCCAUGUGACAACGGAGGCAGAGACUGGAGUGAUGCGUCUCCAAGCCGAGGACUGCUGGACCAUCAGAAGCUGGAAGAGGGGAGGAAGGAGCCUUCAGAAGGAGCUGAUACCUUCAUUUCUGACUUCUGGCCUCCACAACUGGGAGAGAAUCGAUUUCUGUUGUUUCAAGCCACCCAGUUUAUGAUAAUUUGUUAUGGAAGUCCUAGGAAAGCAAUACAGGAUCUAUGUUAACCUAUGUGUCUUUCCAUUCU
rnacentral:lncRNA from 1 species